rnacentral:rRNA from 1 species
GGGCGAGAGCCUGAACCAGCCAAGUCGCGUGAAGGAAGAAGGUUCUAUGGAUUGUAAACUUCUUUUAUAAGGGAAUAAAAAAGAGUACGUGUACUCUAUUGUAUGUACUUUAUGAAUAAGGAUCGGCUAACUCCGUGCCAGCGGCCGCGGUAAUACGGAGGAUCCAAGCGUUAUCCGGAUUUAUUGGGUUUAAAGGGUGCGUAGGCGGACCAAUUAGUCAGUGGUGAAAGUUUGCAGCUCAACUGUAAAAUUGCCAUUGAAACUGUUGGUCUUGAGUGUAAAUGAGGUAGGCGGAAUGUGUUGUGUAGCGGUGAAAUGCUUAGAUAUAACACAGAACACCAAUUGCGAAGGCAGCUUACUGGGAUACAACUGACGCUGAGGCACGAAAGCGUGGGGAUCAAACAGGAUUAGAUACCCUGGUAGUCCACGCAGUAAACGAUGAAUACUAGCUGUAUGCGAUAUACUGUAUGUGGCAAAGCGAAAGCGUUAAGUAUUCCACCUGGGGAGUACGUUCGCAAGAAUGAAACACAAAGGAAUUGACGGGGGCCCGCACAAGCGGAGGAACAUGUGGUUUAAUUCGAUGAUACGCGAGGAACCUUACCCGGGCUUGAAAUGCAUCUGACCGACGAGGAAACUUGUCUUCUAGCAAUAGCAGAUGUGUAGGUGCUGCAUGGUUGUCGUCAGCUCGUGCCGUGAGGUGUCGGCUUAAGUGCCAUAACGAGCGCAACCCCUAUCAUUAGUUACUAACAGGUUAAGCUGAGGACUCUAGUGAGACUGCCACCGUAAGGUGUGAGGAAGGUGGGGAUGACGUCAAAUCAGCACGGCCCUUACGUCCGGGGCGACACACGUGUUACAAUGGGGGGUACAGAGGGUUGCUACCCAGCAAUGGGGUGCGAAUCACAAAAGCCUAUCUCAGUUCGGAUCGGAGUCUGCAACCCGACUCCGUGAAGUUGGAUUCGCUAGUAAUCGCGCAUCAGCCAUGGCGCGGUGAAUACGUUCCCGGGCCUUGUACACACCGCCAUCCAUAUGACUAG